rnacentral:rRNA from 1 species
ACCUGGUUGAUCCUGCCAGUAGUCAUAUGCUUGUCUCAAAGAUUAAGCCAUGCAUGUCUUAGUAUUAGCAUUCAAUACUGCGAAACUGCGAAUGGCUCAUUAAAUCAGUUAUCGUUUAUUUGAUAGUACCUUGCUACUUGGAUACCUGUGGUAAUUCUAGAGCUAAUACAUGCGCAAAUCCCCGACUUCGGAAGGGGUGUAUCUAUUAGAUACAGAACCAAUGCCCUUCGGGGCUGCACGGUGAUUCAUGAUAGCUGCACAGAUCGCAUGGCCUUGCGCCGGCGACGGUUCAUUCAAAUUUCCGCCCUAUCAACUUUCGAUGGUAAGGUAGUGGCUUACCAUGGUUUUUACGGGUAACGAGGAAUCAGGGUUCGAUUUCGGAGAGGGAGCCUGAGAAACGGCUACCACAUCCAAGGAAGGCAGCAGGCGCGCAAAUUACCCAAUCCCAACGCGGGGAGGUAGUGACAAUAAAUACUGAUACAGGGCCCUUCUGGGUCUUGUAAUUGGAAUGAGUACAAUUCAAAUCCUUUAACGAGGAUCAAUUGGAGGGCAGGUCUGGUGCCAGCAGCCGCGGUAAUUCCAGCUCCAAUAGCGUAUAUUUAAGCUGUUGCAGUUAAAAAGCUCGUAGUUGAAGUUUGGGCCUAGCGGGCCGGUCCGCCUCACCGCGUGCACUGGUUUCGCUGGGCCUUUUCUUCUAGCGAACCGCAUGCCCUUUACUGGGUGUGUCGGGGAACUAGGACUUUUACUUUGAAAAAAUUAGAGUGUUCAAAGCAGGUCUUUGCUCGAAUACAUUAGCAUGG